AUUGAACGCUGGCGGCAUGCCUUACACAUGCAAGUCGAACGGUAACAGGUCUUCGGAUGCUGACGAGUGGCGAAUGGGUGAGUAAUACAUCGGAACGUGCCUAGUAGUGGGGGAUAACUACUCGAAAGAGUGGCUAAUACCGCAUGAGAUCUACGGAUGAAAGCAGGGGAUCGCAAGGCCUCGUGCUACUAGAGCGGCCGGUGGCAGAUUAGGUAGUUGGUGGGAUAAAAGCUUACCAAGCCGACGGUCUGUGGCUGGUCUGGGAGGACGAUCAGCCAGACUGGGACGGAGACACGGCCCAGACGCCAGCGGGAGGCAGCAGUGGGGAAUUUUGGACAAUGGGCGCAAGCCUGAUCCAGCAAUGCCGCGUGCAGGAUGAAGGCCUUCGGGUUUUAAACUGCUUUUGUACGGAACGAAAAGCCCCGGGUUAAUACCCUGGGGUCAUGACGGUACCGUAAGAAUAAGCACCGGCUAACUACGUGCCAGCCGCCGCCGUAA
rnacentral:rRNA from 1 species